rnacentral:lncRNA from 1 species
UUUUUUUUUGUUUCCUCUUAUUUUCCUAUUACCGACAAAAAUAAGCGAAAUGGAUAGGAGCCACGACCAUGAUGGUCGUGGAUCUGCCCCAAACCAUGAUAUAACUCAACAUAGCUUAGCAAAUUAAGUGAUGUCGACAAUAUCUCAUGUUCACUUUCACUUGAUAUUUUCCUUUUAAUCUUGCAUCUAAAAAAGUUUUUAACUUUUUCUAACAUAAAUUGGGAGGAUUAGUAUAAAUGAAUAAUGAACAACUCAAGGAAGAAGAAAAAAAGAAGGGAGAAACGUGCCAAAAAUAUUGGAAUGUGUAAGGAAAGGGGAAGGAGGCAGGCACCAUCAGCAUCCAUCAGCGAUCCCUCCAUCACUAUGAUUAGUGCUCUGCUCCUGGACGUCCGACCCAGUCUCCCUCCAAGUCUUCCCUGGCAUGGCCCACGUGUCGGUAGAUGGAUAGCUCCAUGGGCGGUCAAUUAAAGCCUACGGUUUGCUUAAAAAAAGAAUUUAAGCCUACGGUGUGCAAUGAAAUGCAAAAUAAAGGGAGGCGCAAGCUGCACAAGGGAAUGCGCACGUAAACACAAAGAAAGAAAGAAAUUUCGAUUCAAUUUGGGUAAAUUUUACUCCUUUUCCAAUGAGAUUUGUCCAAAUUUUAAUGAAGUAGAACAUGCUAUAACUUUUUUUUGUGCGACAACAGACUUUUCCUAGAAUAAUGCACGUCCAUACCUGGAGGCCGUGGAUAUAUUUGUGUUCAUGGGGCUUAAAGAAUUUCCAAUCUAAUUAGAAAAGAAAUGAAAUGAAAAUCUGCACAAGUGAAUAAUGUAUCUUCGGUGGUACAUGGUAAGAAAUGUAAUUGUUGCACGAAGAGUUUCUAGCCUAGUGGUUAGAGCACCUCAGUAGUACCCAACAGAUUCGGUUCGACUCCCCGUGGGAGCGAAUUAAACAAAUCUAGAAUAAAAAAAUUAUAUAAAAAAAUGGGUAGGUUCCCCUGCCAACUUUAGUCGAAAAAUAAAUGUAAUUGUGUGCGGAUUUCGACGGUGCACCUCCGACCCCCUAGGAUCUAUGGGAUGAUGAUAUCUCUGUGUCCAUGGCUUAAUUAAUUUCUAUUUUAUUAAAAAAAAUAAAAUGAAGAUCUGCACGAGAGAAUAAUGGUAUUCGAUGGGUGAUAAAGAAAUGUAAUUGUUGCAGAUUUCGACGGUGCACCUUAGAAUAAUAUAUCUUUGAUAAGCGAUAUGAAAUGUAAUUAUAUAUUGUGUAUUUCGAUGGUGCACCUACAGGCCUUGAGGAUCUAGGGGAUGCUAAUAUCUUUGUGUCGAUCCGUUCUGUCUACAAAGGAAACGAAAUGAAGAUCUGCACACGAGAGUAAUAUGUCUUUGAUAUGCGAUAAAAAAUGUAUGUUUUGCGGAUUUUGAUGGUGCGCCUCAGAAUAAUAUAUCUUCGAAAGCUGAUAAUGCUUUUCCAUUAUGUCUAGAAAAGAAAUGAAAUGAAGAUAUGUACAAGAGAACGAUAUAUCCUAAACAGGUGAUAAUAAGAAAUGUGAUUGUUCUGGAUUUCGACGGUGCACCUGUGGGCCUGAGGAUCUAGGUGCCGCCGCUAUCUUCGAGUCCAUUGUUUAAUGAAUCUCCAUUUUAUUUAGUAAAAAAUGAAAUGAAGAUAUGCAUGAGAGAAUAAUAUAUAUUCAUAGGUGAGAACAAAUAUAAUUGUUGCGGAUUUUGAUUAUAUAUGCCCCUAGAUCACGAUCUAUAGGGGCAGCUGAUAUCUUUUGUGUCUUGAAUUUCCAUUAUGUUCAGGAAAGAAAUGAACCAAGAUCUGCAUGAGAGAAUGUGUUAAGUUGAAGUGUGGUUUCAUAAAGUAUACUUUUCCUAUGUUCUAUAAAUAUUUUGUAACAAAAUAUACUAGUUACAAUUGUAAUUCGAAGACCUAUCAAUUUCCAAAACACCGAAUUUUGUAACGGGAAGGAUUAUCUUUGCAUUGUUUAAGUUUAACCAAGAUGUACAUUUCAAAAGGAAAGUAUAAACAUAUUAGAAAUGCUCUAAAACAACUGGUGCUUAUUACUCCCUCAUAAAUAUUAUUAUUAUGCAUCUAGACAUAGGAUAUAUCUAAGUGCAUAGCAAAAUGUAUGAAUUUAAAAAAACCAAAACAACCUAUAAUUUGGGAUAGAGAGAAUACAGUAUCAAGCUAUAAAUAUCCAAGCACAUGGUAAUCAUCUCUCACUCCUACAGUCUCAGUUUCAAGAGAAAGUAGAGCAUCUUCUUAGAAAGAAUAAUUAGUAUGAUCAAGCCAUCGAGUAACGAAGUACCAGUAGUACGUCGACGUGGUACUUCCGUACUACUAAUAGUGGAGUAUCAAGCAAUUCUAUUACCAUUCUCCUUUCUUAAUCUCCUUUUCACCAAUGGAAACAUGAGCACGAGACGCGGAACUAGUCAACAGCCCCAAAGCAUGGGCAGACGGCGAGGCAGCGACACCAUCAACAAACAAAACCAAUCUUUCCAAGGGCAAAAUCGUCACGCCAAUCACCUCUAAAAAAGAUUAAAAAAAUUCAAGCAAGAAAUAGAAAAGAAUUAUCGCUGGACCUGGACGACGAGUAGAGGACGGUGGCGGAGAAGAAGAAAGAGCCACUGAGCCAGCGAAGGAAGCAACAGAACGAAGACCGUCACCAACCAAGAGAGAGAAGCAGCAGCCGCGAGAAGAACACAGAAGCCAGCGAGAGAUCAUCAGAGGGAGGGGGAGAAAUUUGCAGGAAAAAAUUAGCAGCCUUCCCUCUGGAAUCUAGCUAAUUACUUUCCGGUCCUUCUCCCCCAUGUAAGUCUCCCCUCCCCGUCGCCUGCACCUACCGGAAGCGACGCCUCCUCCUGCGGUUCAGGUCCAUUCCUGAGUCGUCGCCGUCGGCUAUCUAGAUGGUGGCCGCUCGCCGGAGCACGGCCUCCACCGCCGCGCUCCUGCUACUCCUGCUCGCGGCUGCAGUCUCCAUCUCUUCUUCCGCCGAGUUGCACCGCAGCCAGGAGCAGGACAGAUCGGCGCUGCUCCAGCUCAAGAACGCCUUCCCUUCGGUGGAGCUGCUCCGGCGGUGGUCCCCGAACUCCGGCGGCGCCGACCACUGCACCUGGCCGGGGGUCACCUGCGACGCGAGGUCCCGGGUCGUCGCUCUGGAGGUGCCCUCCCCUUCACGGCGCUCCGUACCCGGCCGGGAGCUCGCUGGCGAGCUGCCCGCGGCGGUUGGGCUCCUCACCGAGCUGAAAGAGGUCUCUUUUCCGUUCCACGGCCUCCGCGGUGAGAUCCCCGGUGAGAUCUGGGGGUUGGAGAAGCUCGAGGUGGUCAACCUUUCGGGGAACUCUCUCCAGGGCGCCCUUCCGGCCGUCUUCCCGCCGCGGCUGAGAGUGCUCACCCUUGCUUCCAACCUGCUUCACGGUGAGAUCCCAUCUUCCCUUUCCACCUGCAAAGACUUGGAAAGGUUGGAUCUUUCAGGCAACCGGCUCACUGGAUCGGUGCCCGGAGCUCUUGGCGGCCUGCCCAAGCUUAAGUGGCUUGACCUGUCCGGAAAUCUUCUUGCCGGGAGUAUCCCCACUGGUCUGGGGAAUUGCGCGCAGCUCCUCUCACUGCGGUUGUUCUCGAAUUUGUUGAAUGGUUCUGUUCCAGCAGAGAUUGGAAGGCUGACCAAGCUGCGGGUUCUAGAUGUCUCGAGUAACAGAUUGAGCGGUCCUAUACCACAGGAGUUGGGUAAUUGCUCAGAUUUGUCGGUUCUUGUAUUGUCUAGCCAGUUCAAUUCAAUGAAUUCGCAUGAGCUCAAUCUGUUUGAAGGAGGGAUUCCAGAGAGUGUAACAGCUUUGCCGAGGCUCAGGGUGCUAUGGGCGCCGAGGGCUGGGCUGGAAGGAAAUGUGCCAACCAACUGGGGAAGGUGUCAUAGUUUGGAAAUGGUUAACCUUGGGGAGAAUUUAUUUUCUGGACCGAUCCCAAGGGAGCUAGGACAGUGCAGCAACCUCAAGUUUCUCAACCUUAGCUUGAAUAGAUUAUCUGGUUUGCUGGAUAAGGAUCUCUGUCCGCAUUGUAUGUCUGUGUUUGAUGUCAGCGGAAAUGAACUGUCAGGAUCAAUUCCAGCAUGUGUGAAUAAAGUCUGUGCAUCUCAGCUAAUGCUAGAUGAAAUGACAUCCAGUUAUUCUUCAGUCCUCAUGUCCAAAACUCUAGCAGAACUGCCAUUUAGUUUCUGCAACUCUGGACAGUGUUCUGUUGUGUAUCAUAAUUUUGCAAACAACAAUCUUGAAGGUCAUCUUACAUCCUUGCCGUUCAGUGCAGACAGGUUCGGAAACAAGAUGACAUAUGUGUUUGUUGUUGAUCACAAUAAAUUCAGUGGGUCAUUGGAUGCAAUUCUGUUGGAAAAGUGUAGCAUCUUGAAGGGACUGAUUGUAAGCUUCCGAGACAACAAGAUAUCUGGUCAGCUCACAGCAGAGUUUAGUACAAAAUGCACUGCUAUCAGAGCUUUGGAUUUAGCUGGCAACCAAAUAUCAGGAGUGAUGCCUGCUAAUGUUGGUUUGUUGGGAGCUCUUGUUAAGAUGGACAUGAGCAGAAAUUUUCUGGAGGGUCAGAUACCUGCCAGUUUCAAAGACUUCAAGAGCUUGAGAUUUCUCUCAUUGGCUGGGAACAACCUCAGUGGUAGAAUACCAUCCUGUUUGGGUCAGUUGAGAUCACUGAAGGUUUUAGAUCUCUCAUCUAAUUCUCUUGCUGGGAAGAUCCCAAGUAACCUUGUGACACUAAGAGAUCUCAGUGUGCUUCUACUUAACAAUAAUAGGCUCUCUGGAAACAUUCCUGAUCUUACCUCUUCUCCGUCGUUGUCCAUAUUCAAUGUUUCAUUCAAUGACUUGUCUGGGCCACUGCCUUCAAAAAUUCACUCACUGACGUGUGACAGUGUUCUUGGAAAUCCAUCCCUCCUACCUUGUGAAAUGUCAGCACUCUCCAAUCCAUUAGCGAAUGUCCGAGCUCUAACUGAGACUGACAAUAAUCCACCAGCUGACAAUACAGCCCCUGAUGGAAGUAGCAGUGGUGGCGGAUUCAGCAAAAUAGAGAUUGCCUCGAUAACUUCAGCAUCAGCAAUUGUUGCAGUUCUCCUGGCUCUGAUCAUCCUUUAUAUUUACACACGAAAAUGUGCAUCAAGACCGUCAAGACGUUCUCUCAGGAGAAGGGAAGUCACUGUUUUUGUUGAUAUUGGUGCUCCUUUGACAUAUGAGACUGUUUUACGUGCCAGUGGCAGCUUCAAUGCAAGUAAUUGCAUUGGAAGUGGUGGCUUCGGAGCAACGUACAAAGCUGAGGUCGCACCAGGAAAAUUGGUGGCAAUAAAGAGGCUUGCUAUUGGAAGAUUCCAAGGUAUUCAGCAAUUCCAAGCAGAGGUCAAAACACUUGGGAGGUGUCGCCAUCCAAAUCUUGUAACACUCAUAGGAUACCAUCUCAGCGAUAAUGAGAUGUUUCUAAUAUAUAAUUUUCUACCUGGUGGCAAUUUGGAAAGGUUCAUACAAGAAAGGAAUAAGAGACCAAUUGACUGGAGAAUGCUUCACAAAAUUGCUUUAGAUGUUGCACGUGCACUUGCAUACCUUCAUGACAACUGUGUCCCACGCAUCCUACACAGGGAUGUCAAACCAAGUAACAUCUUGCUUGACAAUGAUUACACCGCAUACCUUUCUGAUUUUGGAUUAGCAAGGCUGCUUGGAAAUUCGGAAACACACGCAACUACUGGUGUGGCAGGUACUUUUGGAUAUGUUGCUCCAGAGUAUGCAAUGACGUGCCGUGUUUCUGAUAAGGCAGAUGUGUAUAGCUAUGGAGUCGUACUUCUUGAACUUAUUUCAGACAAAAAGGCACUAGAUCCUUCUUUCUCUCCAUACGGGAAUGGAUUCAACAUAGUUGCCUGGGCUUGCAUGCUUCUACAGAAGGGCCGAGCUCGUGAGUUCUUCAUAGAAGGGCUGUGGGAUGUGGCUCCGCAUGAUGACCUUGUUGAGAUUCUACACCUGGGUAUCAAGUGUACAGUUGAUUCUCUUUCUUCUAGGCCCACAAUGAAGCAAGUUGUCCGACGACUAAAGGAACUCAGACCGCCAUCUUACUAGUAACAGCAAGCAGAGAUUGGCUUCCUUCUGUAAAUUAAGAGCAAGGUAAAUAAACUAUUUUUUUCUGUCCUUUUGCUUUGUUGGACUCAACCAAAUAGUGUUUUAUUCUGAUUAUGAUUUGUGUACUGAUAGUUCUUUAUAGAAAAAGUUAGAUCAUUCUGUUGCAUGUGAUUGUGUUUGAGAAAAGAACCACGGAUCUUAACAAAUACAAGUGUCCAUGUAUCUUCUUGUAUGAUAACUGUGCUCAUUUUGUCCCAUCGCCACGUACUUGCGUUGCCCUGUGGAUACUGUUUUCUGACAGAAAUUUGAUGUGCUCCCUGACCAUAUGAAAUUGCUCUUUGGGAUUGGAUUGAGUUCUGGUCGUAUUUACGUUUCAUUCAUGUUCUGAUCGAUAUCGAUAGUACUAAAUAUCAGCUAGCAAUUGGUAAAAUAAAAGGCCGAGUAGGUGUGAGCAAUUCCUUCUUGUUAACUUGGUCCGUGAAAAUAUCUGCUUGCUUGAGAACCGAGUGGUACAGCGCUGUUAGUGGAGCCUCCAGUUGAGAGGAUGCUCACCUGGGCUUGAACCUGGGUGCCUGCAUGUCCACAUAUAUCUCCCUGAGAACUUAUGUUUAGCAGGUUACCUGCCCAGCUAGGGUUUGGUAGACGCGUCCUAUAUGACAAAGCUGGGGGGGGGGGGGGGGGGGGGGGGGUCUUAUCCCUGUGGUCAAGUUUUUUUUAUUUAAAAAACAGCUGCUUGUUCCAUUGUAUGGCUACUCACUAUAUGGGUGCUUGUUUCCUGGAUACUUGACACAACAUCUGGUAGAGUGUCUGAGGGAUGAAGUGCAUGACUUGUAUUCUCGAUCAGAUGGUUCUUUAUUGCAGCUAGUUUGUCUUGUAGAAGAGCUAUAAGCAAUAUUUGAUUGUCAAUCGAUGAAAAUGCAAUUUUUUUAUAGUUCCACUUACUUUUUCUUAUGCAUUUUGUCGAUAAAUACCUUUAGAUGUUCUGAAUGUGCAUUUAUAGGGUUUUAGCAUCCGCUAUGUUGGUGUCAUCUUUAUCAUCAAAAUUUGAAAUGUUCUGUUUUUCGUAUGUAGGCUGUUGGCUGUUCUGGUGACUUGAACUACCAGUAAUGUUCAAAUGCCAUCUCUCAUGGGGCCCUCAAGCAGGACAUUCAAGCUGGUGGCAAACAAUUCAAAUGCCAUCUCUCAAGGGCCCUCAAGCGGGACAUUCAUGGUAUUUAAAUGUGGCCUUGGAUGCCACCUUAUGGGACACUGCUAUUCCUUCAAUGCCACUGCCAGCGAGAGGAAGUUCUGCCAUGCCUGCCAAAUAUGUAAGCAGCCUCUUCUGAUCUUCUCCCUACCUGCCUGCCGCGCUGCUGUUUCUUUUGGAAAAUUUCAUUCAUGUAUACUCGUCUAACCUGAGGACACCCUUUGUUGUAUCAUCGUUCCUGUACAAGAUGAGGCAUUACCCAGUUAACAGGAUGCAUUUAUAUACCUUGCCGGGCAAUUAAAUUGGCACAAUGCGCCUGGCUGCUCUCCUGACCGGGGAUCGAACACAAUGAGUCAGUGCUGGCCUUCUGGGCGACAUGUAAGAGGACUGGAUUAUCUGUCAGUGGACUGGAUACCUAUCAAUCAAAGCAAAACGGCAUCUGUCAAAUAACAGAUUAUCCGACUUCGCAUUUGUAAUUGUACAUUCCACUCUCUUGUCAUUCUAGUUCGUGUUGUGCAUCUGUCUUGUCAUUCUGUUCCUGAUGAAAAUGACCUGGAGGAAUUUUGCUUUGAUUAAUCAUUGAUGUAAACUGAAACGUGUAGGCUGGAAGAUAGUAGCAAAAGUGCAAAACAUUUUGAUGCUCGUAGUGUUUGUAGUAGCAGCAUAACUGAGAAUUGGCCUCCGUAGUGAGGCUGGAAUGCGAAUGGAAUAAAAAAAAGAUACUCACGCAACGACUCCGCUGGGGAUCGAACCCAGAAUCUCUGGUUCCGUAGACCAGCGCCUUAUCCAUUGGGCCACGGAGUCCUUCUUGUAGGGUCGUUAUCCCCAAUAACAAAAUACAAAUAUGUUCAGCAAAUCAGCGCUUUUGACCUUUUGUGAGGUCAGGCGCAUUUUUUGAACCUUUUUGUCAGGAUUUGGUUGGCUUGCAGGAUUUGUAUUAGCAGCAUAGCUACAGUGCCCAACCAGGCAACCAAAAAUGGAUUGGUUGGCUCUGGGGAGCCUGACUAGCCCUUAGAACGGGUAUCUGAAGAAUCCUGAACUACGUUCCUCUCCUGUGCUCUUGGUUAGUUGCCGCUAAAAUUGGUGCUCUUGGGUACCCUUUGUGUUUCCGGCCUUUUAUUUCUAUGCUGUUCGAAAUUAAAUGAGAAAAAGUCUCUAAUGUCUCUCUUUUGAUCCAUAUAGUUGUUCCUAGGCACCAGGUCUUUCGAUCCAUAUAGUUGUUUCUUCAGGCACCCAGGUUCAAACUCUCUACUAAGGUCAUGCUACUGUAAAAAUAAUUCGUACAUACCUCCAUUUAGGGAUAAACCUGCCGCAAAUUAAUUAUGCGGGUUAGUGGCUGUCCGCUGCCGCAAUGGUACUGCUCGCUAUUAUCCGGUGGACUCGGUGGGAGAUACGUAAAAACCCGCCAGGCCCGCAAAGCAUUUGUAGCUAGCUUACUUGCUCUUUAGCAGAUGAUAUAUAGCAUGCGGCGCUGGCUUGCUUGCCGCUACUGUGGCUUUACUUUUCCACUUAAAAGAAAAAUACAUUAUGAUCGUAUAGAACCAUGUUGAAAAUUUAACAUUACAAUUCUGGAUAGUCAGAUCAAUCAAACAAUUCUGGAUAUAUUACAUAGAUGAACUUGAACUAAUAGCUAUUUUCAGUACGUUCACUAGGUCAACUCAAUAUCUCAAUUCUUUCAGAAUAACUUGUACUAAAGAACCUUGCUCGACCAAGCACCAUCUUUCUUCGAUUCUGAAAAAUUCAAAACCAAAAUAUUCACCCAUUAGCUUCAAAGUAUACCUGCUGCUCAGUGCUAAACUAACACAUUCAAUCACUAUGGUCUUGAGACAUAAAGACGAAGCAAUGCAAAACAGAAAGUGACAAGUAAUUAGAACAGAGAAACAACAUCAAAUGAUAUUCCUACUGUCUGAGCAGAAAAAACAAAUGACAGGAGCUCCGUAGUUCUGAUUGCAUAAUAUGAAUAUAAAAUAUAAAUUCAGAACCAUGCCUCUUAAAGUUCAAAUAAAACUUAUGAUACCUUAUUCUGAACAAAAAUAGUGAUUUCAGUACUAGGCCAACAGUACUACUCUGAACAAGAUCAACAGCUAGCAAAACAUUGUACUGAUUUUCUCAGUUUUAUGAAUGGUUUGUUGCAGUUGCUGCUGGAAAAUAGCGCAGACAAAUAGCAUGGUGUUCAACACGAGUAGUCAUAGCUCACCAUGAAAAGAGUUUACUUCAUGCAGUGCCUUCAUAGUACCGAUCCUCGUUAUCGUCAAUAUCUUCUGCCAUCUUGAAGCUGGUAUAACCUGAAAUAAGAGGAAGCGAUGAACAUCCUUUAGCAUGACACAAUUACUUGAACAAGCAUAUCAUUAAGUACAAUUAACAGAAAUGUGUACCUUCUGCUCUCAACCAAUCCUGGAGGCAUAUUAAUGCUUCUAGAUUCUUGCUUGUCAGACUUCUAUACUCGCUAAUCACUCUCCCACCAGUAGAGAAUGCGGACAAUCAACUUGGUGGAAGAGGAGGAUGCGCCGGUUCUGGAGGCCUCGGGUGCCGCCCAGCGAGAAGGGGCGGAGACGACCUGCGCAGCGUGGCCGGCGCUAUGAGGACGGCGAGCCCGGGGGGGGGGGGCGCAACAGGGUGUGCAGGGUCGCGUGAGGAGAGGGGCGGAGUGCUAGGUCGGCACCGGAGGGACAGAUUAAUCACUUCGAUUCGGCUUGCAGAACGAGCUUCUAACUAGAAGCUACCCAAAACGGGUGCGGCAUAUCCGUCAUGUACCACAGCUCCAAAUUCUCAAGCUGAGCCGUGACGAACAGAGAACGGUACACAAUAUCAAUCAUGCAUGACGAUGAACGAACAAGACAACCAGCUGCGCACAACCACAACAUUUGACAAACGAAACGGGUUCAUUCACCGACUAGAAAUGUUUCAAAUAACAUUCGCAGAAGCUGAUGGAUAACUCGGUUUACCACUCAAAGAUUAUACUGUCACAGUUUUACCAAACUACUUAAAAUAAGGGGCCAGAUGUUCCACAAAACUGAUAACACGAAAGCACAGCUUCUCAGUACUUGAUCGGGGCAAGAAUCUCCAGCUGAGAUCCCAGCUUCUCCUCAGCAGUCUUCUCAGCCUUGACACGGAGCUUAGCCAGUUGCUUCCUCCUCUCAUAGGCAACCUUGGCCUUCUCCUUCCUCUUCUCCUCAAGCUCCUGAUUGAAGUUAAACACACAGGAGAAUGAGAUCAUCAACAAGCAGCAGUAACAAUUAAAAGAACAUCACAAGAACUACAAAAGCAAAACCUGAAACAAGAUCAAUUAAAACAACCAUGCAAAGUAUUUCUGUUAACAAACUCGUAUAAAUACAAUGGAUGCACAGAAUAAAUCAAGUAAUGGCCUCAGAGAUCUUGGUGGUUUAGGAUCAUCAAAUGGGAGCACCCAUCAAGAGUAGCAAAUAUUUUGAUCGCAUCACCGGCUCAUCACAACAUAACCAGGUAAAUACAUUUUCAGGGGUAAACUACAAAGAGAUGAUGGAAGUAAAUAUUCUGUUCAUAUACUCAAGCAAGAUUUGCAAUCAAGACUAUCAUAACAAAUGCACAAUCUAAGACAGAUGAAGAACAAACAAAACCUGAAACAGCAUGAUUGUCAGAAGUAGCUGGUUGUUGAAAUCAUAUUGAAUAAUCAAUGGGAAUCCGAUUGAUUUUCUUCAUCAUCCAGAAUCAUGCAAUUUCAAUACUCUAUUCUAAGAAUUCAAUAGCAAAAUUUUAUAAUUCUCAAGAUGGUCGUCACAAACAAAACUACAUCUACAAACACGCAAAUUAACAAACUCACAUUAGUCAAACAAGUGCAGACAUUUCAAAUCUAGAGCGAAAUUCCUUUAAAAUCAAGAUGCUACCAAGCUCAAACUAGCAACAUGCAUGUCAUGUAUCCAUGUCCAAACAUCACCACAUAAGAACAAGCACAUAGGCAGAAGCUUACCCUGAUGGUGUCGUGGUAGUUCCAUCCGACCUCCUUGGAGAGCUCCCCGAGAAGGCAGUACUUGUGCCCAGGCUGCAGCCUCAGAACCCUACAAACCACAACGGGGAAAUACCAUCAGACACAGAUCACAAUGCAAAAAUCACUCAGGAAUCAAGACGUGAUCUCUCGAUAGCGAAUGAAAAACACGUACUUGAGCGCGUCAGGGAUGACCAUGCGCUUGGUCCUGUCGUACGGCGGCGGGACACCCUCGUACGUCUUGAGCCUCGCCAGCGCAGCCUCUCCCCUCUUGGUCUUGUGCGGAAUCAUCCUGCAAAACCACAACAAGCAGAAAAUCUCACCUACAAAUUGAAAAAUGGGCACAUCAAAGCAGCGCCGGCGAACCGGCGACGGAUCCAGGAAGCUGCUCACGUACCCGCGGAUGGUGCGCCAGAGAAUCUUGGCGGGGGAGCGGAAGUGGAUGGGCCCGUGAGACGGCUUGGUGUUCAUCCUCUUGCGGAGGAAGCGGAGGUACUUCAUCUUCUGGCGGACGAGGCCGCCGGACAAGCAGAUCUCCUCGCAGCGGACCACCACGACCUUCUGGCCGUUGAGGAGCUCCUUGGCGAUGAUCGAGGACAGGCGGCCGAGCAUGUGGUGGCGCGCGUCCACCACGAUGCGCUUGGCGCAGACGCCGGAGCCGGACACCAUCGCGGCCUUACCUGUGAGGCGGCGGCGGCGGCGCGCUAGGGUUUGUAGUGGCUGGUGGAGGCGGAUGGAGUGCAGGCGCGGCGUAGGGUUUCUUAUUUAUAGAGGUCGACAAUUAGGGUUCAGUAUUGGGCCGGGCCGUGGCCUCUGUUUUGUUUCGGAGGCCCAAUGCACACGCUUCUAAAGGGCUGGCUGUCCGUGUCGCGUGGUGUCCUUUUUUUAACCUUUCUUUUAAUUCUCCGCUAGAAUUGUGCUCAAGUUCAUUUCCCAGUAUUAAAAAAACUUCUGUUCGAAAAUGAAUAAAAAACUGAGUUCGUAAAAUAAGUGAAUUAUGCUAACUUUGCAGAAUACAAUCCCAAAACACAUCUUUGUACGUAUAAAUACGGUUUAUUGACAAGAACCGUUGUACGUUUAAAAGUUAUAUAUAUACUCCCUCAGUGUCAAAUAGGUCGUUUUGACUUUUCUAGGUGUAUAGAUGUUUAUGUGCAUUUAAAUAUAUACUUAUAUUUAGAUGCAUACAAAUAUUUAUAAACCUAGAAAAGUCAAACCAACCUACAAUUUGAAAUGGGUGGAGUAUCACUACGAUGAAGCGCUGAAGCCUGCGUUCUCCAUGCAUCGGCAGUCAACAGAGAAAUGUGGGUAGCAAGAGCUGCAUCACAUGCAGAUCUGGCCAGUUCACCUUAGAACAGGGCUCGCCAUUGCCGGGCUGCUGGCCUGAUCGCUCCGUGCUCGGUUCAUUCGUUCCUAGCAGAAUCUGUGGCAUUUUGAGCAGCUGAAACUGAAAGCUGUCGCCUUCUUGGGUCCGACUCUGAUGGACUGGGCGAUGCCUAAUGCCUUCCAGCCACAUCUACCGUUUCGUUGUGGAGCUCUCAUUCUCAACAGCGUGCUGCAUCGCCACCGUCAUUGAUGUGACCAUCCAUUCGGAUAUUAUCCUUGCUCAAAAUCCUAACCAGGUUACGAAUACUUUCUCAAUUAAAUUUGAUUCCUUAUCUUUUGGUAAUGAACAUGGGGAGAAGUCGAAGAAUAAAGUUCAAGCUAUAGCCGUGCCAUGCAAUAUGGUAUUUAUUGGAUCUAAUAUUUGCAAGAAGCAUCGAGAGAAGAAAUCAAAGCCAAUUGUUCAAAUUGGAUCCAUGUUGUUGAAGAUCGAUUAGUUAACAAGGUCACUAGCAAUGUGGCCGGAUUAUUUUAUAUUAUUUCUAAAUGUGAGUUGCUAGCUUGUUUUGCUGGAAUCCAGGUUUGUUUCGUCAGGUGUUUUACUUGAGUCUGGGAUUCCGGGUCAGUUUGAUCUUUUUUGUUUUGAGUCAGAUUUGAGUUCGGUUUAUGCCAGGGCCAACUGAGUCCUAGCUGGUGCUUGCGUGCACUUUUAAUUGGCCAGGAGCCGGUCUUGUGGCCUCAGACUUGGUUUUAUUUUGGGGGAGUUUUUUCUUUGUUGUCGGGCACUGCUCCAGAGAAGAUGGCGAUCCCAUCUGCUAUCUGAAGUCGAUCCAAUUUUGGAUUGUGAAGAAACGCGAUCAAAUUGUGUAUAAUCUGGGUACGUUUGAAUUCUGUGAGUUCCUCCUCUUUGGUCGUGGCUGCUUUUGUCCACAGGUGAAGAGUCGCCAACAGUUAAUCUAAUUACCCUAGUUCUAGUUGGUUCUAUCUAAUGUUGUUCUGAUUAGUUCCGCUGCUAUUGUUCAUUGUUUAAUCAAAUUAGUCUGUGAUCUAUUUGGCUGAUGAUUUGGAAAGUGAAGAUUGUAUCGUGAAAGUGAGGGAAAAUUAGUGCAUCGCCGCCGGUGCCCUUCAGCCAUCCUGCUUCGCCGCGCCCUCGAGCUCCGAGAAGUCCACCGGGAUGUUGAUUUGCGGCCGGACUUCGAGCUUCGAGUACGCCACAUUUGACUGUCUUUUGAUGAAUGAUCAAGAAUGAGGAUUGAAGAAACUGACUUGCUUGUGGUUCUGAAGUCUUCAUUGGAGGGACAGAGAUUUUACAUCCUUGAGAAGUCUAAUCUUAGUGCUUCUGCUGUCAGUAUGGUUUGAACGGACUCAUUUUCCAUUUUCAAGAACAAGAAGGUGUGCAACACAUGCCACGGUAACAAGCAAAACGUGCUCAGAGUUACUGGUGGGAAAGCAGGGAAAACGUGAAGACGCUGUAUGAGCGCUAAAUUAAUGAAACACGAGAAAAAAUGGAAAUUUAGUUUAAAAAUGUGGUAAUUUAGCAAAAAAAAGUGUAGCUUAGCUCAUUUUUACUGACACUUGGUACGAUUUCUUAAGAUUUUUAUGGCUCUAGCUUUGUUCCUUUUUUUUCCCAAUGGUCACAACGGAAAUUACCCAUGUCGUGUGCCACUACGGAAAUUAAAAUAACUAAAGUAACUCCUUGUAUUUGCAUCCAAUGGUCACAAACUCCUUUUGAAGCAAUUACUCCCAAGUUCACAAUCCAAAUGCUACCCAUAUCUCUACAUACAAAGAGUUGUUAAAUCCUCGAUCACUCCAUGCACAAUCCAUCCAUUUUUUGCAUAAUUUGUUGCAUUGGAAAAUUCAUCUUCCUUCUAUGCGCCCCGAAGCUGUCACCUUCGGUUUUUCAGCUGCCCAUAGUUUGAUUCGUCAGAAUUGGAAGUGUCAAAUGCAUUCUCCUCUCUGCUCCCCGGAUUCCGGACUCAACUUUCAUCCAUGCCUUCUUGUCACAUUGUCGAACUCCUAACAGUGUGGACUGCCGCCAAUGUCAGCCACUCAGUCCUGCUCGAUUCCUUCCUGUUCCUUGAGCUCGGAGAAGUCCACGAGGAUACUGUUUUCAGCGGCGAUCUCCUUGGUCACCUUCUUCUUCAGCUCCAUGUCUGUCUUGUCGCCGGACAACUUCCACACCAGCUGCAACGGUAGCACGAACCAACCCCGUAAACGUCAGGAAUCCCCCUUUCUAGUUCCAAAUCAAUGAGAUGUGUGCCGUAUCUGCACAAGAUCAUGCUACUUACCAUGGGAUCGACAAUGCCGGCUCCCUCCUUCGCCGCCGCAGCGAAGUCGCCGCCGAACUUGUCUUCUAGGAUGGCGCGCGCGAGCAGGAGCUCCGGCAGAUCGCCGCACCACCUGGCUGCAAACGUGAUCCCGGCAGCCGCCUCCAUUGUUUCCUCGCUGCACUCCCUGCACACCAAUAAGCACAAUAGUCACGCAACCGAAAAACAUGCGAGAAACAAAUUGGACAAGAGAUCAUCAGGUCAAAUACUUGAAGCUAAGAUGUUCAGUGUUCUGCACGUACUGUGGCUUGUCUAACUGCUUGGCAUGCUCAAUGAGUCGCUUGCAGUGGAGCUCAAUGAUCUCGAACGCCUGCAGCAUGUUGUCUUCCUCUAUGACCUGCUCUGCCUGCACGGGGAAAUUAAAGAUGCAUUGCAGCCGUCAGUGCUCUCGCAUCGGCAGAGUAUGACGUCCUCACAGCUGAUGUGUAUGUAGAGGUUAAAGGUUCGUACGCGAAGGAGAGCUCGGUGGAGGUGGCCGAGGGAGAGGAGCUGGCCGACAUCGCCGCGGCAGAUUGACCUGCGAGCGAGGCGGGGGCGGCGGGCAACGGCGAGGCGCGACAAGGCGAGCUCGAGAAGCUUCUUAAGCCUGGACGUCUGCUUGGAGGUCUUCCCGUGGAAGAAUCCCAUGGCUGAUCGCUGGUCUUGUAUGCAAAGUAAACACUGUUCAGCUAAUCAGCUUUCCUGUUGGUCUUUUGCUCGAUGGAGAGGAAUGGCCGAACAGGAACAAGCUUGGUUGCUUGUGGAUUGAUCUGAAGUCUGCAAUGGGGGGUUAAAGAUUUUAUAGGGACGUGCCAGUAAGCCUUGAGGGAUCCAAUUUUAGCGUUUCUGCUGUCAGCUCAGUCUAAAAUGAGCUCGUUUUGCAUUUGCAAGUUCAGAGCCGUGUCGCAAAACGUGCCUGAAGAAAGGGUGAGAAGCUAAACGUGCGCAAAGUUACUGGUGGUAAAACGAACAAAACGUGCAAAGGAUUUAACCAAGGACAAAUCAACUGGAGCAUGCAAAAAACAUCGUGGUUUAGCGCUUUAGCUAGCUGUAUAAGCUGUGCUUUGCUCAGCUCAUUUUUACUGUCAGGUGGAUAAAAGCUGAGAUAUUUGCACGCCCGGUUUUCAUUAUCUUUUUUUUUUCCUUUUAUCCAGUGGCCACAACGAAAAUUCUGGCAGAAUGGAUGAGCAAGCAACUAAUUCUGCAUCAUUGAUAGUUUAGCUAUUGGGAACGGUAACAGACACAAAAGAAAAAUGGAAGACAAGUGAAUAAACAUUGCAAGCAGUUCGAGACAAUAAACUCUGCCACACCAUUCAUUCAUUUGGUACAUUUCAUAGAGCCUACAGGCUACAGUUAAACUGGUACAACAAAAAACUCUGUAAUCCUCAAUACAGGGAUACAAGCAAACUGGCACUCCUCAAAGAAGACCACAACAUACAAGUUUAAGAACUUGAUCCCUGACCAUGUAUCACUACUGGACUCCCAGGAAUAGGGGAGUUCAAGCACAACAUGUCAAGGGAGAGUGCCCUUUAUCGGCAAUCUGAGCAUAGAAAUUCCAAUGGGGAUCACAUUCGGUGAUGAAGGGUUGACCAAAUGGAUUAUUACGAACAAAACACUCAACAUCAUCUGCAGCAGCUAGAUUCUGCAGAUACAUGCGAAGGUCUCCACCAGGACCUGCUUAUUGGGAAUUGAAAUUUAAAGCAUGAAUAAGUUGUCAUAAGAUAGAGGUAGAGCUGCAAUAGUGAUGAGCACAUACCCAGUGAAUUGUCAUUCCAGUUCAGAUAACUGUAGGAGCGAGGGAAAAUUGCAGUAUGUGGCUGCACAAGAUAGACAGAAAAAGAGCGUGUGAGAUUUGCAGUGUAAGUAAUGUACUGAAAAUUGGUGUAUAGAAGAGGCUGGAGAAGUACAGGAUUGCGCAGAGCUUUGUAAGGAGAAUCAUCCACAAGUAAUGUAUUUGAAGCUGAAUAGUCUCCCUCUUCCCAUGGAAGAUCAGGUUCUUCCUUAUUCCACAAUUUCCUCAGUUCCUUCAGAACUAAUGGUUUGUGCAUGUUCUCCAGUGUUUUAUGUCCAGUAAAUGUGCAUUUAGACAUGUCCUGCGCAUAUUAAGGCCAUAAACAUGCUAGGAGCAAGCAAAGAAAAAUUCAGAAGAGAACAAACAUGUGUUAAUUAGACCUACCCAACAAAAUAGCAGGCGUGGUUUGAAAUCUCUCAUAACGAUAUUAACAACCGAAGCGACAUUUUCUCUGGAGAAAUUUUAGUGCCAAAAUAAGUACCAAGUGGAACAAAAUAGGAAAGCCAAAAUGGAGAAAGAUGAGAAGAGGUCAUACUUUUUUCUUGAAGACCAUACACCUAGCUCGAAAUUCAGGGCGCAGAAGUUGAGAAAAUCAUCACAGUAAGGCCUUCGGAAAACUGAUAAAAAAGGUAUAUCAUCAUAUAUCAACAUCUUCUGUCACAUUCUAGAUCACCAUUGUCGUAAAAUAAUAAUUAUAGGCGACAAGACUAGAAACUGAACCUAAUUUUCCUCGAACCUUGGCAUCAGCCAUGUGAGCAUUGUGGUAGUCAUCAUUGAUAUCCGCAAGUAAACCAUUAAGAUCUAAGAUGAGAAGCUUUUUCUUCGGAAACCCUAAGGACCGUCCUGGUGAAAAGAAAAGAUUGAGCUUUUCCAUAUAUGCCUCAGCAAAAUGGGAAGUGCUCAGAUAGUUAGCAUUGUGAUCGUUUGAUGAACAUAGUACAUCUUGCUCUUGCAGACCAUUUCUCUCCAUAUUUGUGUAGUCCAAACUACUCUUUCCCAGUUCACUCCUCUUUUCAAAGGUGCUGUCCAAAUUACUAGUUCCCAGUUCACACCUCUUUUCAGUGGCACGGUUCAAAUUUACACCAUACGCUUCUGAUCUCUCUGCAUUAUCCAGUGGAACUAAGUUAGUCAUGGCUACUUUGUUCUGAUUUUGAUUCUCCCUUUGUUCCUUGGGUUCAAGACAUGAAGUAGUGUUCUCAGAAACGACUGCCAUCAAACCAGAAUUAUCAGCAGCGGUUGGCAAUAGAGAAUCCUGUGAAGUAGAUCUUUUGCGACGAUUGUGCCUUUUUCCGCCUCUUUUUCUCCUCUUCUUUUUCUCUAAACUGCUGGAGUUGAUAGAAGCUCCAUUUUCAUUUUCCUUAUAUUCUUCUGACUUCUGCAAAGAGCUACAGCCAGUACAUAUUCUUUUCUGGUAUACUUCGUCCAGGUUCCCUGACAAGUCGGUACUCUUCAGCUCUGGAAAGUUUGAGUCCUUAUUGUAAUAAUCAGAUCCUUGUGCAGUGCAAUUAUCAAUUGGGAAUCUUACAUCAGAUCUCUUAUAUAACUUGCUCCUUGAGGCUUCAAUUUGUCCAACAGAAUGUUCAUGGCGGGCAAGACAAGAGCAGGCAGCACCAUCCGCAGCAGAAACUUUUAGCACCUUAUUUCCAGCCUGAAAAUCUCUCUUUCUUGUUUUAUUUGAGUUCAUUAUCGACUCGGUUGUAGUCUGCAGCACACUAUCGCCCAAAUGUGCUGCCACUGUUUCCACAUGGCAACUUGCUUGCGUUGCAGAACCUGCUUGAGUGGAAACGGCAUCUGCCAGACAAUUAGCCGUGUCAUGCAGGUCUCCUUAACUAUCAGUGCAUUUAUUUAGUGUAAGCUAACUUUAACUUCUCAUACCAAAAUCAAACUCAAGAGGUAUAAAAUGCAACAAAAUGGUACCCUUGCCUAUAUUUUUCUGAUAAAAAUGGCUGAAACAUGAAAGUUGCACCCUUUCACAAAUGCUGACCAGAUAUCUAAAAUGAAUCGAAGUGAUCGUAUAAUAAGCGUGAAGAAACAAUUUCCGAACAUUUGGGAGCAUAAAAUCUACCAGGUGGCAAUACCACAGUCCACACAAUCGAAUGAUAUGGCAGACUGGUACACAUGAAAGCGUCGCGGCGUUGGAAAAUGCAUGCACAAGGGCACAAACACAAAAAAUGGGUACACAAGUAAAUACUCGCAUUAAGUGCAGAUUUUACUUUCUGGCGAGGAGAGGCACCCUGAAAACGUAUUUCCCCGGAUUCCAUCAUCAAGUCGCAACGGAAUUACUACAGCCCGCAUCAACGAUUGCCUUGAUGACAUGACAAACGAGGCGUGAAGCUAGCCCAGCAGCAGUCAAGGAACCAUGAAACCUAUCCAUGGCGCGGCGCGGCACGUCACGCGAAGCAAAGGCAGUGGCGAUGUACUACCUGAAACGGGGGCUUCCGCCUUCUCCUCCUCCGCCGCCGCCUCGUCCGCCGCGGCCGCGCCAGCACUACUCCGAUCACGCCGCCUGCGAGGCCGCCGCCGGUUCCUGCGCCUAGCCGGCGUGGCGGCGCCGGGCGCAGUCACCGGGGCUGUCGUUGUGACCGCUGCGCUUCCCCCCUCCACGGCCACCACGUCCGCCGCGUUCCCCCCACCCCCACGCCGCCGCCGCCUCCGUCGGCGGUCCCGGCGCCUCGCCGGGGGCUGGUCCAUCCGGAUCUGGCUCCCGGAGCAGGCCCAGAAAAGGAAAGGAUUGCGAGCGGGGGGAGAGGGGCGGCGUGCCCGGCUUCUGUCUGGGCGCAACUGCAAGGGAGAGCCGGAGAGGCAUGACGCGUUAAAGAGCCUCUCGUGCUCCACCAGCCGUGCGUAGUGUACGAGCUGCGCGAAGCCGGGGCGCCGGGCAGAGGUUUUCGGUUGGGUUCUUGGCGUGUCCCACUGUCUGUCACAACACGAGACACGGUUAACCGUGGGCCUUAUUCCUUUUCUCUCUCGAGAUGUGUAUCCCUAUUUCGGAUCGUGAGAACCAUUGUUUCUAUCUUGGAGUUCAAGUUUCUCUAAUUUAGUUGUAGUUUGAGAGGAGGAACCUGUCAUAUUGAUGUUUUUCGAGAGUUUUGUGCUUGCUAACAAGAAGGUAGCCAGGUAGGAGAUACAAGUGUAGAUAGUUGAUAUGUUGUUAACCGAUAAAUUAUUUCCACGAAUAAGGAAGAUCCCAUCGUAACGUACUGUAGGAGUGAUAUGUUGUAAAAAAAACUGACAAAUGGAUUACAUAAACAAGAAAAAAAAUUCAAUUAUAACGUACUACAAUUAGUCAACAUGUUGUUAACGAAACCGACAAAUGAUUUUCAUGAACAGGAAAAAUCCAAAAUUCCAAUAGCAACAUAAAUGAUAGAAAAGGAUGAGAGAACAACAUGACAAGUAACUCGAUCUCUAUCGAGGUUGGGGGCAAUGUCAUUGUAUUAGCGACGAGAAUAAAAGAAGGAAAGCAAAUGUACAUGUACUUAUGUACUUAGUAGAUUAGAAGCAUCUCUAUCUCUUGUGAAGUACUUCUAUGAUCAUAAAUCCUUUGAACACGAAUAUAAAUCCACGAGGACAUCAAUAUGUUCUCAAAUAGUAUGCCCCUGUUUAACUUGCAAUACCUAUGAAAAUGGGUUAUCUUUCUUACUAAUAGAAAGACUUGCAGAUUAGUUUGAACUUGAUUAUGCCAAUUUUUUUGUGAUAAACUGUGACGCACUGGAUAUUGUACCUCCAAGAAGGUAAGAAUUAGCAAGAAAACAAUGCCUAAUACAGGUGGUGCAAGCCGAGAUUUUACAAUGAAAACCUCAUAACGCUUCGUCACCUUGCAUAUUUGCCACUAAUGAUCUUUUGCUCCAUCAUAGUAUCAUUUGGGUUUGAUUGGGAACUACUACCUCAUCAUUUUUAUUCGACCGUUUGGACAUCCUACAAUCUCAAAUUGAUGACUUUUACCAGCACUUUCUCUAAGCAUUUUUUGUUGAAAUUUAUAGAAGAUGUAGUUGAAAGUACGUACCUUUUUCAUGUCAUACAAAUCCUAAUACAUUUGUGAGUUGGUGGCUAAAUUUUAUAAAGUUUGACUUGACACACGUCCCUCAUCUAUUCGAGAACGGAGCAAAAAAAAAAAAAACUCACUACAGUGCAGCAGUAAGAUAUUAACACAGCAUAAGCGCAAACUCCUGCAACAUUCUGUAGCAUCGUGUGACAUCUAAAACGUUUUCGUGUGAUUCGCAGUGGCAUACGUCAGGAUCAGGGUUACAUAUAAUUCAGUGGGAUUCGUCAAGUUGUGCCCGACUAACACUGAAGGGUGAAGGGGGCAGGACACCUAACAGUGCAAAGGGCUAUUGCCCAUUGCUGCUGGCUUCGGCUUCUAUUUCGGACGCCUCGCUGAUGCUGCUGGUGGCCUCAAACUUGGGCCCUUGCAGCUGCCUCUUCACCAAGGCGGUGUAGAUGCCGUCACGGGCGAGGAGCUCGUCGUGCGUGCCGCUCUCCACAAUUUGGCCGUCGGAGAUGACGGCCACGGUGUCGGCGCUCUUGACGGUGGAGAGCCGGUGAGCUAUCACAAGAACGGUUCUUCCUUUCAUCAACGAGUCCAUUGCAUCCUGUGACAAGUAGGGAAAAAACUUUCAUAUUCGAUACCAGAGGCAUUGCAGUAAGGGUGCUGUUUGUUUCGGGCUCGCAUCAGCAGUUCAGGAGAUGAGGAUUCGUGCUUGCCUGGACAAGAUAUUCGCUCUCAGCAUCCAGGGCACUGGUGGCUUCAUCUAGGAGAAGCACUCGUGGGUUCAUAAGCAAAGCUCUCGCGAUGGCAAUCCUCUGCUUCUGCCCGCCAGAUAAUCUGAUCCCUCGCUCGCCAACGACGGUCUUGUAUUGGUCAGGGAAGCUGCAGAUGAAGUUGUGUGCAUUCGCCAUUUUCUGCAUCAGAAAGAUGGUUGAUAAGGAUGUACAAUCCUGCAGUCAUGCACUAGUGUUUCUGAAUGCAGAUACUUACAGCUGCGCUCUCGACGUCAGCAAAGUUAGUUUUUCCCUCUAAUCCAUAAGCAAUGUUCUCUUCGAUGGUGCAGUUAAAGAGUGUAGGCUCCUGACUGACUAUGCUUACCUAAAUCAGUCAGUAAAAAUAUGAAAUCAGUCUAAAAGAACAUGAAUGGAAUAUUGAAUUUUUUAAAAGAAGAAACAAUAAGUAUGGAAUUUUGGCUGUCAAAAUAGGUUUAGAUGGGUAGAUUGUUUGCUUUUAAGUGCCCAUUACAAGUUGAAUUUUGAAAAGCUGCUGAUAAUGCUGGUUCGAGUGAUGAACCAAAGUCUAGUUUCACAUUCUCCAGUUCACCAAACUUCAUACCAGCGCUAUUUCAAAUUAUCAUUUAAAUUAGCCAGAACUACUGGAUUCACCAGAGUCCAGGCUGUUAGGUAGAACAGCUAAUUAGAAUUUUGGUACAAAUGAAAGGAUCUAACUAGCAUAUAGACAGGUCAGGACAAUAUUCUACUAUCAGUCACCAGUAAUGUGAACGUUGCAACAUUAUCCUAGCUUAGAUAAUAUAAUCUUUUCCACUGUAUGACUUCAAAUAAUCAUUCCCACAUGACAAAUAGUUGCAUGACAUUGACAUACCUUGUUAUGAAGAUAUUGGUGUGAAAUUUCUACCAAUGGCACUCUGUUAAGCAAGAUCCUUCCCUUUAGAGGGUCAUAAAACCGUUCGAUCAAAUUUGCUAUCGUGGUCUGCAAAAGUUAAUGUUGUAAUUGAGGCUGCAGUUUGAGAACACUUUACUUUAAGACAAAGCGUGUCAUGUAAUUAGCACAUGGAAAAAAAAAUCUUACUUUACCACCACCACUUGGCCCGACAAGUGCGACCUUUGAACCCGGUGCUAACUUCAAUGUUAUCCCCUGCAAUAUUGUUAACAGCAGGCAUAAGCUUAACUAUAAUGCUCACCAUGCAAGUACUAGACGAAAAGUGUGUUUCAUGAUAUUGAUAAAGCUCGUAAAUGACUUUAUAAUGUACCCUGUUAUGAAACAUGUAGGCCUUAUUUUACAGGUUGUAGAAUCUAAUUAUGUCACAAACUGGCCACUAGCACAACAAAGAUGGUUCAAGCUGGCGAAUAACAUUGAUGUGUCUGACAAGGGGGCCCAUGCCCUCAUCACUGCUAGCUUCACAUUGGAUCUCCUUUAAUUAAUAAUUUACGCUUAAACCAAUGAUGAAAUCCCCACACAUGUCAUUCUAAAAAAUCCCAUAUGAAUCAAUCAAAGAGCAGUGGCUUUUUCAAAACAAAAACUAAGUUCCAACUCGUCAACGUUGUAAUGUUAAGUCAUGUAUGUCACUGCAUUUUUUUUCUUUUUGGAAUAAGAAGGGCCAGAGCCUGCAUCCCUAAUUAAAGUAGAUAGACUAAUAUAAGAGUCCGAAACAGGCUUGGCACUGGUCAGCACGGCAGCACCAACUGUGCUCACAAAAGAGCAAUCACCUGCUCACCUUGGAUCACAGAGGAACUAAUUAUAACGGAACAAAAUGAGAGAAAACACACUGAAAAGGAUUAUUAUUCCUUUUUUGAAAAGAGACUCCACUAAUCUGGUAUUCAUGGAAAAGCCCACAAGAAUAUGGAUGAUAACUGAUGCAAGUUUGGCUCCCAGUUUCCUUUACAUAUGUACACUAUUUAUACAGAAGAAAAGAAAAUGCCAUGUCAGUUGCACAGUAUUCUGGAAAGUACCUUAAGAAUCAUAUGAUUAGGGCGAGAAGGAUAUGCAAACCAGACAUCAUCAAGCUCAACUUCCCCAUCUUGCUCACUAAAAAAAUGGAAUUGUCAAUAAUUAAAGGUAAUGCAAACUGCUAUUGAAUAAGUAGAACCACUCUAGAAAACUGAUAGACAAGGAAACUAACUUUGUUGGACAUUGAUCCCCAGAGUUUGGCAUUGAGGAAACACGGUCCAGAAGUUGAAAAACUCUACGGCUUGCACCAGAGGCUUUCAUUACAGUCGUGUACAGUCCUGACAGGGCAGAUACUGACGAACCAACUGUAUACACACAAGUAAUUUGAAUUGUUUGAAAAUAUCAAUAAACCAUAGAUGAUACAUGUAAAACUAAAUGUGCCACCCUGUGUACAUGAUGAUUAUCAUGGUUUUUAAAUUUACAUAGAUAAAAUCAAGCAUGAUGCUUGGUUCAGUAUAAAUACUGUUAACGCGAAAAGUACCUGUAAGGCUGUAUAAGAUGAACGAUGUGAGAGAACCAGUUGUCAUGUAACCAUUGAUGGUUAAGUUGGCACCAUAAAUAACAACAAUAACCACUGACAGGGUUGAUGCUGCAUUAAGCCCUCCAGAAAACAAGCCAACGACUUUCUAUAAAAAAAUGCAUCAAAUCAGACCAUUAAAUUGUGGAAUACGGUGCUAGAUUACAUGAACGGUAGGGCACUCACAGCUUGCUUGAGACCAAGUUUAAGCGUCUCCUCUACUUUUUCGCCAUAUCGUGAAAUCUCGUGAGAUUCCUGAGCAAAGGAUCUUACUGUGCGAAUGGCACCAAAGGAUUCCUGAAUGGUAGUAGAUAGACUUAUCAAGGCAUAAAUACAAAGAAACAACAAUUCUGCUAUAUGCUUGCAAUUAGAAGUGAAAACACCAAUUUGCUUUUUUUGUGACAAUACCCAAACAAAGGGUUCGAGAAAAUCUCACAUGCCCAUUAACAAAUCACAAGCUACAAGAUGCUCUGGUAUACGAACCUCUGCUAUGGAUGAAGCUACAGCUGCAGCAGCUUGUGUUUGAUGUGAAAGCUCACGAAGAAAUCGUCCAAAACUACGCACAGCAACUGAUAUAACCGGGACAAUUACAAGUGCCAGCACUGAGCAGAUAGUAAUCAAUGAGAUUUCCUUGAUCAAAUACAGUGGGUUUAACAAAACUAAAGAAAAUGCACAAAGAAAUGCUGAUGAUUUGAUGGUAUCACACGCCCAGUCAAUGUCCUUUCUGAAGUUCAGCUAAGCAUAUAAAGCUUCUGUACACAAUAGGCCUCCCAACAACAAAAAGCCAAUGAUUUCUAUAUAUAGAGUACAAGCAUAUUACUUACAUGUUAACUUCCACGAAGUUGAAAACAUAAAACCAAGACCAAUAGCUGUAGUAGUGAUAUUGCGCAGUGCCUCUGAUAAGUUGGUUGUAGCAGCAUUCUUGAUUAUCUGUGUAUCUUCAGAAAGCCUGCUUAAGAGCUCUCCUGUCCUAGUCACAUCAAAAAAUGCUAUUUCCUGUGGUGGCAUAAGAUAAGUAUUAAGAGUAUGAACGUUGCUGUGGGCAGGACAGUAAGUGCUAAAUUUUGGACAGAACAAACUUCCUUGCCUGGUUUAUGAGAUGACUGAACAAGUCCUUCCUAAGUCGAGCGACUACUCUCUCACUAGCAGAAUUAAAUAACCAUGCCCGAAGUGCCGUGCAAACUGAACUGAAACAAGGCAAGAGAUGGUUUUUAACAAUUCAAGGCAUCCAACAAAAAGUUAAGUCGGUAUACUACACAUAAGCAUAACUCUCUUUUUUCUAAAUGAGAGUGUAUUUAGCAAAUACAGUUUAAUUAGUACAAAGUAAGAUUGCAGCAUAACUCGAUCCACUAAACAUAAUGUGAACAGAUAGAAGCUCGUAAAGUUGCAGUACAGAACAAUUCUGAUGAUUUUUAAAGUCAAGUUUUGAAGAAAGAAGAUACCCGACUACAACGAUCAACACAAUGUACAAAAUUGUGCCCUUAACAUCCUCCAGCGCUUGAGCCUUAUCUUCUGGGCGCCGAACAUCUCUUGACACAAUGUCAAUUAUUUUGCCACCGUAUUUCGGCUGCAGGACACCACAAGACAAUCCAUCCAUUACAACAUGGAAAGAAACAUUUGACGACCACGUUCUUUAAGAUAGUACUUGCACUGAACGCCAUUAUAUUCUACUCAUCACUGAACACUGAUUCAUACUAGAUAUCUACAGGAUCAACAUAUGUCAAUUCAGUCAAGAUUGUGGUACUAGCUUAAUUUAAACCAACAUACAUGCUAGUUGCUAACAAAAUAACCAGAGCUCUGCACGCAGUGCUCAGCCUUCAUGAAGACAGGAGCAGCUUAACAAUGAAAUUCAGCAGAUAUCCUUGUUUCAAAAAUAUAAUGAAAAAACUAUCAGCACCAAUAUUUUUUAAACAUGUGGCAGGUACCUACAACGAGAAUGUUGCUGAGGGAGGCGACGAGCAGUGCGAUGGUGGCGAGCACCAGCUUCCCGGCGUCAUGCCUGGCCUGCAAACCCGUGCUCACACGUUCAGCAUAACUAACAUCACCACAAGACAAGAGACAGUUAAAAAGUCGAAGACAGCAGCGCUCACUCACCAACUUGAUGACCCGGCAGAACCCGACGUUCGCUGGCUGAGACGAUUCCAAAUCGACGAUGAAAAAAGGAGCAGCGAGAGAAAGGGGAGGAUUAAUUAGCUAGCCGGCGGUAGUAUAUCUGGACUGAAUUGUGCAUGCGGGUGAAUAAAGGAGAGGAUGCAGAGUGGGUUUGGGCGCCGAACCUGGACGUUGCUGCCUUCCUCCAGGUCGGAGAGCGCCCUCGACGUCUCCUGCACGCACCAACGCACGCAAUCAGAAACCAAAUUCGAAUAGGAGAAGCCGCGGCCGCGAGGCACGGAGAGAAGAGAGAAGAGAGGAGAGGUUGCGGUGCGCCGACCCCGUUGCCGAGGAGGGGGAUGCGGUUGGGCUUGGGCGCCGUCUUGAUGCGCAUGUUCUUCCCCAUCGCCGCAGCUCCCCUCGGUCCGCGCGCGGAAGGGAGGCGAGGCGAGGCAGCCAACGAAUGGGGUUGGGGGAGUGAGGCGAGCCGCGGGAGGGAGACGAGACGAGUCGGACGAGAGGACCUGCUUUUGUUGAUGCGUAGCGCCUUACCGUGCCGCGCCGCGCCGCGGGGCGGUUGGCUGGUACCUGGUGGCUGCUGAUCACAUGGCGCGUACGGCCAAGGCCAACGAACGAGACAGGCGCUAAAGUCCCCGACCCGAUAGCAGCAGUCUAGGACUACGUGCGCGAUCCGGCGUGUCACCCCCUCCAAGAGUCCAAGCCCUUAUUUUGUUCACCCCCAACUCUUAAUUUUGACACUAUGCAAAAAGAAGAUUUCCCAUCAUAUCAAACUUGCGGUACAUGUAUGGAGUGCUAAAUAUAGAUGAAAUUAAAAACUAAUUGCACAGUUUUGUUGUACUUUGCGAGACGAAUCUUUUGAGCCUAAUUAGUCAAUGUUUGGACAAUAAUUCACAAAUACAAACGAAACGCUACAGUGUGCUACAGUGCUGUAACGGUAAUUUGACGCCUCCAAACUUUGGCAACUAAACAAGAUCCAAAGUGCGUGUCCAGUGGGGAAUUCAGGUUUAAGGAUUGAAUUUGACUGCUUGAUUAAUCGGGGAUCCGCGGCUUGAUCAUUGGCGUCAAGAUUGCCCUUUGAUGCAUUUUUUUAGCGGAGUACAGAUAGGCGCACGUUACACUUACACUACGAUUACCCUGCUAAUCUCCAUGAUGCACUUGUGCUUUUUAUCCUAAUAGCUAAUAUUAAUAUAACACUCUCAUCUUCAUGACGCUAGGCAAUUUCUUUUUAAGAGCGUCUCCAGCUGAUUGAUCUCCCCCUUUCACCUUUAUCCUCUUAUAGGUGAAUUCCCUUUUAUAAUUUUUAGAUUUUGAAGAUAGAUGCUAUAGCAGAUCCACUGCCCCUUUCCCUAUUUCUUUCCACUGACAUGUGGAGCCCACCUGUCAGUGACCAAAUCAACCUUCUUCCUUCUUCCCUGUUCUCUUCUUCCCUCUCCCUCCUCUCGCUUGCCUCUCCACCCAUAGCAGGGGGCGGCGGCGCCGGGCGCGCUCGCGUGCGCGUCCCAUGGCAAGGUGGCGACGCCCAACCUCGCAUUGAAGACCGGCGGUGGGGUGGAUAGGCUCGAGGAUGGCCGGUGGGGUGGAUUGGCUGGUGACGGCAGCGCUCAUGGAGGGUGAGGGCAGCUGGUGGCGCACAUGGCAGGGGCGCCCAGCGGCGCACAUGGAGGGCGAGGGUGCUCGGCGCCCGAUGGCCAUGGCACGGAGGGUGAGGGCAGCCGACGUCGGCAGCCAUGCCGUGGAGGACCGAGGGCGGCCGGCGUCGGUGGCCAUGGCGUGGGUGGUCGGUGGGGAGCGCAUAAGGAGUGGCUGGUGGUGCUCGCGCACAGCGGGGCAAGGCGCGGGUGAAUCAGGCGGCUAGGCUUUCUUGCAGCUCGGAGAUCUUCUGGUUGGAGAGGAGAAGGGAGAAAGAGAGAUGGAUGAAUUCAUCUAUGUAAAGGGGAGAUGGAGGGGGAUAAAGGGGAUUGAGAAAAAAAUAAAGGGGAAAGAAGAUCUGCUAGGACACGUUUUUCUCCUCCUAAAUCCCCUUUACGGCUAAAAAGAGUAAAGGGGAUAUGUUGUAGAUGCUCUAAAAACCUGGAAUCCUGGAUAUAUGGUGGAUACUAUGACAUGCAACACACUCACAAUCACAUGCACAAUUUCUAUCUUGAAGGAUACCUAAUUAGGUAGUAGCACUAUAUAUUCAUCGCUUGGCCCGUCCUCUCCACCCUAAUUUUGAUGAUUGGCAAUUGGCAUCUGCAUUCGGUAUUGCGUGUGCUUAGUGUUAGGGGGUGUUUGGAAGACAGGGGCUAAACUUUAGUCCCUGUCACAUUGAAUGUUUGGAUACUAUGUAGAAGUAUUAAACAUAGGUUAAUUACAAAACUAAUUGCACAACCUCUAUGCUAAAUCGCAAGACGAAUCUAUUAAGCCUAAUUAGUCCAUGAUUUGAUAAUGUGGUGCUUCAGUAACCAUUCGCUAAUGAUGGAUUAAUUAGGCUUAAUAGAUUCGUCUCCUGAUUUAGCCUAGAAAUUCUGCUAUUAAUUUUGUAAUUAGCUCAUAUUUAAUCCUCCUAAUUAGCAUCCGAACAUCCGAUAUGACAGGGUUAAAGUUUAACCCUGGUAUCCAAACACCCCCUUAGUCGCCACUGCCACCGUGGUUUAGCCCUUGUUCACUUCCCACCAAACUCCCAACUUUUGCACUAUGCAAAAAGAAGAUUCCCCAUCACAUCAAACUUGCGGUACAUGUAUGGAGUACUAAAUGUAGACGAAAUCAAAAACUAAUUGCACAGUUUUGUUGUACUUUGCGAGACGAAUCUUUUGAGCCUAAUUAGUCAAUAUUUGGACAAUAAUUCACAAAUACAAACGAAACGCUACAGUGUUGCUACAGUAAUUUGGCACCUCCCAAAUUCCCCAAGUGAACAAGGGCUUAGUGGGAUGCGGCAUCAGAUCCCAGGCUGUCACAUCUAGUAGCUUUCAGCUGUACCCGCUUUAUUUUUGGUUGUUUCCGGGCAAAGACCAGCCAACCUGUGCUGGUUUUCGUUUCGGAGCGUCAGCUUGGUAGCGAGUACUAUGAUUUUUUUGUGUACGUGGAACGUGUUUGGCUCUCAAAAACGUGGAGUACUUGGCAAGUCUAGAUGGAUGGUCAGUAUACAAACAAGCUGAAUAUUUAUCGAUGUUCCCGGCCGGCCCCAACUGGGGCAGGCGGCGUGAGCGUCCAUCAACAAGGACCAACGCCGUUCACAUGUGCGGCUACAAGGAACUGGCACUUGUGACGACGAGAAGCGUGCCGUAAAAUGACCAAAAGGCAGCAAACAUCACGCCUUCCAGUAUUUUGAAGAGUCUGACAUAACGCCAUAACGGAUGAGGGUAACAGCUAAAAAAGAUGUACGGACCGAAAAAAAAAAACUUGUCCGGCCGUCUCCAACCAUCGAACACAGCUGUCAAACACAGAAUUUGCUGUUUAUUUCUACCUAUCAAUUAUUUCUAUUUAUUUGGAUGGAUGAUAAUUGCCAUGUCGAAGUCCCAGAAACAAGGUGCAGAUCGGCACCGCAAAAUUUGAUUAGCCAAAAUCGAUGCAGUCUCUACAUACAUCGACCACUGAAACACCUAGAGGGUAUUAACACGAGUCAAAAAUUUCCAUUUUCCAGAAGAGAAUUCACAGCUUCCAGUCACCAAGCGUCCACAAAAUUCAACGGCAGGCGCCAUUUGCGU